CGUUAAAUUUUGGAAAUAAAUGAGAUAUUACUAAGAAAUACUACAAAGAACUUCUGAAGAAAAAUUCAAAAGGUACUGCAGAACCACAGAAAGAAAAUGUGAAACACCAAAAGAACAAUGGACUAUGAUUUCAUGUACUAAAAAACUGAUUCAAAAUGCCCAAGGAUUUUCGCCAGAACCAAGUACCACAAACACUGCUUUUCAAUCUGAGAGCCUGCUGUGGGCAUCGUCAUCUGUUGAGAGCCAUUCUCUAAAGCCUACUGUCUUGUCUGCGUGUGGAAACAUACUCCAUGUGCCUCUGGUCACAGAUGAGGCCUCAAUGGUCCCAAUGGUGUUGUGAUGCUCCAGGGCAAGAUUACACCAGCUGAAGAGUAGAAGGCAGGGUUUCGAUGAGGAAAAGGACAAAUUCCAACCUGCUAUCUUUUCCCACCUGCUAGUUGAAGAAGGCUUUGCCCAUCUCAUCAUCCUCAUCAACAUAAAAUCCUCAUCAGCAUAAGAUAAAUACAACCCUUUGAGUCAUCCGAUACUCCUUCUGAUUAUUGUGUGCACCCAGAAAUAGUAAAUAGCUCAGAGUAUCUUUGUCCACCCUGGCAUGGACUUUCCGGUUCCCCACCACUUUGAAAGUGUGUCUCCUUGUCUUUUUAUAUCCUUUGCCACACCACUCUCUAGGAAGAUGGGGCCUCCAAUAGUCACCCGGUUUUUGUGCUUCCUUCUUUAAAUGGAGAUAAGUUAAACUACCUAUGUCUAGUGCCUGAAUAGAACGAUAUUUAAUAUUUUAAAACCUAAAUAAAGUUACUGCGAG
rnacentral:lncRNA from 1 species